CGUCGGCACAUUUGCAGAAAAGUCCCUCCGUUUCAGUCUAUUCAACCCGCAGUCCUUAUCCACGCGGUUGGGGACGGCGGCUGCUCGAUGCGGAGAUUGGGAGGCCGAUUUGGAGGCGGGCGGUGAGGUGGGGGUCGCCGGUGACAAGAGGAAGGCCGGAGCCUGGUUUCCCGCACGGAUCCAUGGCAUUUGCAGCUCGUGGGCGGAAAGAAGAAGGUUAGGGAGAGAAGAAGGAAGAAAGGAGGGAGGUGCGGCGUCCUCGACAGGAGCUCGCCGGAGCCGGGCAACGGCGGACGGGCAUGGGAGACGGAGAGAUCCAGAUCCGGCCGGUCGGGCGACACCAAUCAACCCAUGGGUGGCGUACGAAUCAGGACUUCAUGAAGAGCAUCUAGAAUUGGAUUGAGGACUUAUUUUGGAAACAACUUGAUUUUGACUAUCCAGGCAUGAGUGAAGCAAAGGUGUACAGUGGGUUUUAUUCUGCAUAUCAUAAUACAACAUUGUGUGACGGAGUCAUCAAUGGCAUCCAGAAGACCAGGGAAGCAUAUGGCAAUAUUCCCAUCAUGAUGACAUGACAUUCCAUGGGAGGGGCCAUGGCUUCGUUUUGUGCCCUUGAUCUUAUUACUACUAUUACUACCCCCGAUUCCGGUCCAAAAAGUGUCAUGGUUUUGGAUCGGAGAGAGUAAUAUUUUAUUGGGAAUGACAGCAAGUGUCAGCCGAUCAAGAACCUUAGUGAUAGUAUGCUUGUUCUUGUGUGUGGGCAGUACACCUUCUGUGUAUUUGAACAGUGGCAUCAAGCAUAAGUUGUAUUAGCUUCCGUUUUUGUCUAUUCUAAAAAGUUUACAACAUGCUUCUGAUUUAACCACCAUGGUAACACAUAUUCCUGUGUUCUUGUAGGUCAACUACGGGUUAAAGGACGUGACCCUGCUAACAUUUGGGCAACCUCGGAUUGGUAACGUUGUGUUUGCUUCCCACUUUAAGAUGUACUUGCCAAACGCAAUUCGAGUAACCAACGCACAUGAUAUUGUGCCUCAUCUACCCCGUACUACCAGUACUUCCCACAGAAAACCUACCAUCAUUUUCCACGAGAGAUAUACAUCGUUCUGUUUCACUUCCACCUUUGCUAUCAACUAAAAUCGUACACCAAUGAAUCAGUUUUAACUAAUACAAGCACACACAACAUUCAACUCGACAAUUGGUCAUCUCCCUCCCAUUUUUUCUUUUCUGUUUGCAGUUCAAUCAAGUCAGGACAUCACAGGUCUACAACGCCAUUUUAUCCUCACAUUCAUAGCAAGCUUGAAGUUCCUUCUAUUUACAAGAAUCUUGGUGUGCGGCCGACGGUCGUGCCGCAUGUGGUUGUCUUGGUGUCGUUUGUUGUAUUGUGAUGACCAUCAGAAACCACAUAUAUAUGAUAUUUGUAUCUGUUAAAUUAGUUCUAGCGACCCCGAGGAAGUAAUGUGUUAUAUGCCUGACAUUUGAUUUAGAAUUAACUUGCUUGAAGAUCAUGCUCACCUCAAACUGGCGACGGCGCGCUGAGGUGGAGAGGGCUGCGGCGACACGUCUCCUUCCCCCUUCUGUGUCUUCUCCGGUGACCCCAGCUCCACCUCCAGCCGAAGCUCUAGAGGAGAGGAGAGGAGACAUAGGGAUGGUUGCGUCGGUGGUGCUGGUGCUGCUGCUUGUGUCGGCGCUCGCGGGGGCGGCGGCCGGCGGCGACAUCGUCCACCAGGAUGACCAGGCCCCCAAGAUCCUUGGAUGCUCCAACGACUUCGUCCUCGUUAUGCGUCCCCAGCAUGGCGUAGAGUUUUCAGUGAAGGAGCUGAACUCAAUCAGUUGGAAUGUUGGAGAAAAUCCUCAAGCCUCUCCCCAACCACGCCGACAACUAGGGCUCCGCUCCCAGUUUAAGGCUACCAACUACACGCACAACUCCUCGAUUUGUCCACAAAGUUAAGGCAAGUCCUUUGUACCUCUUUCUGUUGUAUAGUCACUAGAUACAUUUGACUGGGUUUUCUCUGAUUCAAUGAUAACGUUUGUCUUGAUCGCAAUGGAUGUAUCUGCACAAUCAAAGCAUGCACCUACAACAUGGCGCCAAUACGAUGCACUGUACCACAACCAUGCCUAACAUUUGCGUGCAUGGCACAUGAACGAUUUGCAUGGUGGAUAAGGCAAUGUGUAUUCAGAAGAGCAGCAUCACGUUCACACAUUAUCAUUUUCAUUUAAAUAACCAUAUUUGUUUUUUGAAUUUUCUGGUUUAUAUCUGUAUGUCAAUGCUCUUCUUAAAAGUUCCCUUGGAUUAGAAGCAUUUGCUUGCUGGUCUUUCUGAAGACGUGAUAGGAAGAUCAUGUUCUUGAUCACUCAAAUAAGGUCAAUACUGUAGUUUUUUCACCAGUGUAAUCUUAUCAAAAUUCGUACAGUCUCAUUAGUAAUUAGGUGUGGAAACAUACAUUUUCCAUCCAGUAUGAUGUCAUAUUUUCAUUUUAAGAGACAAAACCUUCCUAUUUGGCUUUCAGUAAGGACCAAGUUAACAAUAAUAAGGAUGGUCAGGUGUU